AGAGUUUUCCUUCGGGACAGAGGUGACAGGUGGUGCAUGGUUGUCGUCAGCUCGUGUCGUGAGAUGUUGGGUUAAGUCCCGCAACGAGCGCAACCCCUAACGUUAGUUGCCAUCAUUCAGUUGGGCACUCUAGCGAGACUGCCGGUAAUAAACCGGAGGAAGGUGGGGAUGACGUCAAAUCAUCAUGCCCCUUAUGACCUGGGCUACACACGUGCUACAAUGGCUGGUACAACGAGUCGCAAGCCGGUGACGGCAAGCUAAUCUCUUAAAGCCAGUCUCAGUUCGGAUUGUAGGCUGCAACUCGCCUACAUGAAGUCGGAAUCGCUAGUAAUCGCGGAUCAGCACGCCGCGGUGAAUACGUUCCCGGGCCU
rnacentral:rRNA from 1 species